rnacentral:rRNA from 1 species
UUGGUAUCAGCUUGUCUGCAGUUUUCUGCGUUGAGUGCUUAUUGCUACACCCUUUUUCUCCUACGCUUCGAUCUCGCCUGAACCCNUUNAUUCUCGGGUCAUCAACGGAAUGCAUCCCAGGAAUUUAGUAUAUUUUAGGAUCAUUGGCUCAGAAAAUAGAACUGCGUGGGCUGNGCGUGCCCUAAACCACAUUGCAAGUCUGAACUGAGAACGUUCCUCGACUGUUUCUGUGUUUUGGGACAUGCAUGCUAAACACGUUGGGCUGCGACUGCGUGUUGNAUGAUAACACCUGUUUGUGUGAUAACACGCAAUUGGCACGCUUNUGAAAUUAUUUGCGAGAUUAAAACANUAUCCGGCCUGACGCAGCCUGNUUUCGCUUAGAAUAACCCCAAUGGAAUUAAUUCCAGGUAUUAAAUUAUUUUUAUGGCCUACCCAGGGGCGUUUUUUUAUUAUUAUUAAGUUUAGGACAAANAUGGCGGUUAUNGGAAACCCNUUACCUUAUUCCGUUAUUUCGGGAAACACGAAANGUANAUUAGGACACCACGGAUUAAUAACCGAAUGGUGGGGGAAUUUUAGUGUGUAGGACCUUCCCGAGACACUCGGGUUUAAAACCGCNGAAUGUNAUUUCAAGGGCGCGUUAAAAGAGGUUCAUGCAGGGGCGNUAAAGNGCGAGAGGGGUAAAAACUUUUAUGGGGGCCCCGUUUUAACAUCCCCGAAAGAAUAUGGAUCUUNAACACCAGAAAUGUAGAGAGNCGAUAUUANAAAGCGACCAUAUAAGGUGGCAUAACCGUACUACGGAGAGGGAAAUCGGCGGGAACUUUAGGAAGUUACCAAAAUAA